rnacentral:rRNA from 1 species
UACGUAGGGUGCGAGCGUUGUCCGGAAUUACUGGGCGUAAAGAGCUCGUAGGCGGCUUGUCGCGUCGACUGUGAAAACCCGCGGCUCAACCGCGGGCUUGCAGUCGAUACGGGCAGGCUAGAGUUUGGUAGGGGAGACUGGAAUUCCUGGUGUAGCGGUGAAAUGCGUAGAUAUCUGGAGGAACACCGGUGGCGAAGGCGGCAUCCUGGACCGGCAUUGACGCUGAGGCGCGAAAGCCAGGGGAGCAAACGGG